rnacentral:rRNA from 1 species
GCGGGGGAUGGGGCUCGCGGGCCUAUCAGCUUGUUGGUGGGGUGACGGGCCUACCAAGGCGUCGACGGGUAGCCGGCCUGAGAGGAUGGUCGGCCACACUGGGACUGAGAUACGGCCCAGACUCCUACGGGAGGCAGCAGUGGGGGAUAUUGCACAAUGGGCGCAAGCCUGAUGCAGCGACGCCGCGUGGGGGAUGGAGGCUUUCGGGUUGUAAACCCCUUUCGGCGCGGGACAAGGCUCCGUUUGGCGGGGUUGAGGGUACGCGUCAAAGAAGCGCCGGCUAACUACGUGCCAGCAGCCGCGGUAAUACGUAGGGCGCGAGCGUUGUCCGGAAUUAUUGGGCGUAAAGGGCUCGUAGGCGGCUUGUCGCGUCUGCUGUGAAAACGCGGGGCUCAACUCCGCGCGUGCAGUGGGUACGGGCAGGCUGGAGUGCGGCAGGGGUGGCUGGAAUUCCUGGUGUAGCGGUGGAAUGCGCAGAUAUCAGGAAGAACACCGAUGGCGAAGGCAGGCCACUGGGCCAUCACUGACGCUGAGGAGCGAAAGCGUGGGGAGCGAACAGG